rfam:Trichoplax adhaerens isolate Grell Red Sea mitochondrion, complete genome.
GUAUUGAUAGCUAAGCGGUCUAAAGCGUCUGCCUUGAAAGCAGGCGGGGCGUCGCCCCUACGCGGGUUCGAAUCCUGCUCAAUAUU